rnacentral:rRNA from 1 species
AACAGGAUUAGAUACCCUGGUAGUCCACGCCCUAAACGAUGUCUACUAGUUGUCGGGUCUUAAUUGACUUGGUAACGCAGCUAACGCGUGAAGUAGACCGCCUGGGGAGUACGGUCGCAAGAUUAAAACUCAAAGGAAUUGACGGGGACCCGCACAAGCGGUGGAUGAUGUGGAUUAAUUCGAUGCAACGCGAAAAACCUUACCUACCCUUGGCAUGUACGGAAGCUUGGAGAGAUCUGAGUGUGCUCGAAAGAGAGCCGUAACACAGGUGCUGCAUGGCUGUCGUCAGCUCGUGUCGUGAGAUGUUGGGUUAAGUCCCGCAACGAGCGCAACCCUUGUCAUUAGUUGCUACGAAAGAGCACUCUAAUGAGACUGCCGGUGACAAACCGGAGGAAGGUGGGGAUGACGUCAAGUCCUCAUGGCCCUUAUGGGUAGGGCUUCACACGUCAUACAAUGGUACAUACAGAGGGCCGCCAACCCGCGAGGGGGAGCUAAUCCCAGAAAGUGUAUCGUAGUCCGGAUUGUAGUCUGCAACUCGACUACAUGAAGUUGGAAUCGCUAGUAAUCGCGGAUCAGCAUGUCGCGGUGAAUACGUUCCCGGGUCUUGUACACACCGCCCGUCACACCAUGGGAGCGGGUUUUACCAGAAGUAGGUAGCUUAACCGCAAGGGGGGCGCUUACCACGGUAGGAUUCGUGACUGGGGUGAAGUCGUAACAAGGUAACC